GACGAACGCUGGCGGCGUGCCUAAUACAUGCAAGUCGAACGCAGUGGGGACGGGUGAGUAACACGUGGGUAACCUCCCAUCAGAGGGGAUAACACUUGGAAACAGGUGCUAAACCGAUACUGAUGGAUGGACCCGCGGUGCAUUAGCUAGUUGGGGAGGUAACGGCUCACCAAGGCCACGAUGCAUAGCCGACCUGGGGGGGGGAUCGGCCACAAGUGGAUCUAGACACGGCCCAGACUCCUACGGGAGGCAGCAGUAGGGAAUCUUCGGCAAUGGACGAAAGUCUUACCGGGCCAAGCCGCGGGAGGGAAAAAGGUUUUCGGAUCGUAAAACCCUGUUUUUUGGGAAGCGGUAUCCAACCAGAAAGCCCCGGCUAACUACGUGCCAGCAGCCGCGGUAAUUC
rnacentral:rRNA from 1 species